rnacentral:rRNA from 1 species
UACGUAGGGGGCAAGCGUUGUCCGGAAUUAUUGGGCGUAAAGAGCGUGUAGGCGGUCCGGUAAGUCGGCUGUGAAAGUCCAGGGCUCAACCCUGGGAUGCCGGUCGAUACUGCCGGACUAGAGUUCGGAAGAGGCGAGUGGAAUUCCCGGUGUAGCGGUGAAAUGCGCAGAUAUCGGGAGGAACACCUAUGGCGAAGGCAGCUCGCUGGGACGUUACUGACGCUAAGGCGCGAAAGCGUGGGGAGCGAACAGG